UCAUAGUUUCCAACAAUCCUAGAGUUCCCUUGGUGCGACCUUGGAUGGAUUUUAUGAUAGUCUUAAGAAGAUCCAUUGUGUUGUACUCUUGAGAAACACAUAUCCAAGCGCGUGUAGGGAAGCUUGAGACUAUAUUGGGACUGUUGUAGAGGUUUCUCGCAAGAGUAGUCUUGCCCAAUCCGCCCAUGCCAUGAAUGGAGAGGACGUUUCGACGAGGCUCUGCUUUGAGAAGUUGAGCUAGCAAUGUUUGUACAACAUCCUGAAAGCCAACAAAAAUGUGAUCCUCAUCGACAUAUGAGGUUGUUCUCCUCAAUGUUCUAACUUGAUUGCUUGGCCCUUCUCCAGCAUUAUUAUUGAUAUUUGUAAUACCAUAUGUCUCUCGCCUGCGAGAAAUAUCUAUGAUUCGCUGCUUGAGUGAUUGAAUCUCCUCUGCGACAUUGUAGAAUUUCUUCUCCUUCCUACAUAUGCAAGCGCAAGCCUUGAGACGACUAGCACCUUUACCAGCCUCGAAACUGUAUGUCUCGAGUAUAGCGACAGCAUCAUUCGCAACAGAAUUGAUUUCAAACACCCAUUGUUGAACUCUAUGAUCUCCACUUUGCUUUAGUUCUGCAUCUCUGAGGAAAGACUGUAUGAAGAGUAGCUCAGUUUUCAGCCAUCUAAUUUCAUCUCUGAGAUUUGUUCUCAGUGAAACUUGUUGUAUUAGGAAAUCACCCAAUAUUUGAACUGCAAAUGACACAAAGGCAUCAGCCAUCUUUAGGAAUAUGGAAAUUAAUAUUUUUUGUAAAAGGUAAACUGUGUAUGGAAUUAAUAUUGAGAGUUUGAUAACUGAUGAAUAAUGUUAUAAUGGAAUUCAGUAUUUAAAGCUUUAAAAAUCCGACAGAGGAAAAAGUCUAAAAGUAGAAAGAUGAUAGAUUUGAGGUUAAUGGUAAAGAAAAGUAUAUAUUUUCUACUAACUGCAAGCUAAGAAUUUAAAAUUGCAUGACACAAGUUAUGCUCUAAGCCAUAACUUCAAUGUAGUAGCGAAGCCAAAAGUUUCGCUAAUGAUGUUCAGAAUUUAAUAUAUAUGUAUGAAAAAUAAUUUUUGACUUAUAUAUUUUAUACAAUUUUCUAUAUAUAGAUAAUAUAAUUUUUCAACGAAGGGUGUCCGACUGGACACUCUGAGCUAUAUGUGUCACAAGUUGUGUUUUAAGACAAGAAAUUAUGUCCCAAGGCACAAGUCCCCUAGGGCAAACAACAACCACAACAACAUACACAAUGAAAUUUUACAAGUGGGGUUUGGAGAGGGCAAAAUGUUUGCAGACUGUACCAUUACCUCGUGCAGAUAGAAGGUUUGUUUGAGAAAGACAAACAUUAUUUUAAAAGUUCUGUCCAGUGAAUUGUUUCCCGUUUAUAUACCAAGCAACUCUAAUCAGAUAAAUUCUUCUCAUAUAGUUCAAUGACUAAUAGAUCCUCACUAAUGUGUUUAGAAUGAGUUCACAAAGUUUUGAUCCAAGAAGCAACAAUAACAUGCAUAUCAAAAUCAAAAUUGUUACUUCAAUUCAAUCGAUUUAUAAGUUCAUAAUAAAGUUAUAUCUAACAUCCACUAAAUUACACAUAAAUUAAGUUAAAAUACAUUAAAGUUGAAUGUAGUGAUAAAAAUUCAUGCCAUUGAUAUUCAAGGAGUAUUUAGUAUGCAUGACUUAACAGCGAUUGUAAUCUGUCAUCAUUAUUAAGCAUCAAGACAAUAACUUGUGGCGAUAUUCUAGAAAUUAUUCUAUGAUUUAGAAAAUAAAAAAUACUACUAGAGUGGUUUUUAAAAAAGUUUUAAAUUUUUUUCUUAUAAUUUAUCCAAAUCAAAACAAUAUCCUUCUUAAUUCAUCAAUCCAAAACAAACUUAAAAAAUAAGAUACAAUAAAUACAAAAAACUAUUAGGUUUUAAAAAAAAAAAAAAAUCAAAUAAAAUUGGGGUUCUUUUGACUUGGAUAAGUUAUGGAAAAUCUAGAAGAGGUGGGGUUUUUAUUUCAUCCAAUAAAAAAAUGACACAUAAUAAAUAUUUUAAAAAAACAAAAUUAAGCGAGGUUAGUUAGUUUUAAGAGUAUAUGUGAGCCAAAAAGGUAAAUGGAAGGGUAUCUUUAGACCAAAAUAUGAGUAGAAGGAUAAUUUUAGACACAAAGAUGGAUGAAGAGUAUUUUUAAACCUUUUCUUAUAGUUCAGGGAUAUUUUUGGCCCUUUUCCGUUAAAUAAUAGAUACCUUUCUUUUCUUUUUAAGUUUCCUUGUUUGGGGAAUCUAUAGGAAGAAAUGAUGAGCAUGACUUCUCAAUUUUUCGAAGAUGCAUUUUGUAACUUUGAAGAGAUGAAAGUAAAAUAUUCGAAUUCAGCCUCGGAGGUUAUUCCAUAAAGAUUUUGUAUUAUCUUGAAGGUCAACUUUUCAAAAUUGAUUUGCUAAAAACGAAUUUUGUUUUAAAUUGUUGAUUUCUCAAAAGAACUGGAACGUCAAGAAGACUAAUAAUAUAAAAUUUGAGAUUAUUCGGGAAAAAUUUGAAUUUUUCCAUAUCGAGAGUUCAAACUCGAGAUCUGGGAGGAACAUUGUUAAGAAUUCAUCACCAACUUAAUUCUUUACUUAAGAUAAAUCAAGAAAAAUCUAGAAUAUUCCGGAGGUGUAAAGAAUUGAAGGAAGAUCUCUAGAAUGAGUAUUCUAGAAAGAAUAGUCUAGAAAUGUUCUAGAAAGAAUAGUUCUAGAAAAAGAUAGUUAGAAAUAUUCUAGAAUAGAGUAGUAUGUAUCUCUCUAGAUUCUUCCAUCACCUCCUAUAAAUAGAGGUGGUCCAUUUGAGUUGUAUGCAACUAAGCAACUAAGAAAGAAAGCAAUCAAGAAACCAAGCAAAAAAAAAGAGUAAGAAAUAAGAGAGCAAACAAGAGUGAGUGCUCAAGUAAAGAGUGUUGCUGAAGCAAGCAACAAGUGUGAUCAAGAUUGUAAGACCGAAGCUGGUCCUUACUUUGAUAUAAUAAAAUUCAAGUUGUGAGAAAUCGAUAGUGCCCGUCGUCUCCAAAACAAUAAUAUUCAACAAACAUAUCCUUUGGUGGUAUUGUAGUUUUAUUUAGUUUGAUAUGAAUGUUGUGUAUAAUGUUGUUGUAGUUGUAUUAGAUUUUCAGUAACUAGCAUGAGCUUCAUACAAAGUUUGUAUAAUAAUUAUAUACAUAUUUCAUACCAAAAUUCUCCUAUACGUUUCAUAAAUAUGAAUGUUAUUUUCUAUAAUAUAUACUCUGAGAAGCAAUAGACAUAAAAGUAAGAACAAAUAAUGUGUUGAAAGGUCCACUUAUCACUUGUGUGAUUAACGUUCAGAAAAAAACGAAACAUGACCACGUGGUUUCUGAAAAUAAAGAGAAUUACGAUUAGACAAACAAUUUUCAUUUCAUGUUGGGAUAAGACACAAGUAUCCCCUAGACUAUGACCGAAAUUCCAAAGACACAACUUAACUAAUUUAAGGUCCUAUUACCCCCUAAACGCAUUUUUUGUAUAAUUUUAUACACCUUUUGGCUUACGUGGCACACUCCGUGACUCCACCGAGUUUGCUCGAUUCCGAGUUCGUAUGAGUGAGUUGUGCCCUUUGGAAGUUGGGCUGUUAGCAUAGGAAAGUUCACCCGAAUUUGUAAGGGUAUUUUGGUCUUUUCCCUAACCAUUUCUUUUGGAUAUAUUAAGGGUCCCAACUGAUUUUAAAUCAGUAUUUCCUUUUUAAAAGUGAGUGUUAGGGUUGUGAGUGAAGAGAGAAAGAAGAGGAGAAAGAGAAGGAAGCUAAGUUCGUCGAGAUCGUCGUGGAUUUCGUCGGGGUGAUCCCUAUUAAGGUAUGUGAGAUCAUAGUGUUGGGUUGGUUCAUUCCCCCACACGCCAAACUCGUUUUACUUUUCGAGAAAAAGAUUGGUUGUGUUUGUUGAAUUCUUGUGGUUGUGUUGAAGUUUCUUGUUGAUUUGGUACAUGUUUCCGGAUGGAAUUCCGAGUUGAAUCUAUUGUAUAUUAAGGGUUUUAAUGAUCCCAAGUGUUUGGGGAAAGAACCUUUGAAGUUAAGAGGGUUUAGAGUUGGAAAAAUGAAGGAGAAGAGUCGGGCAGCUUCCAUGAAACCAGUCCGCGUCACGGACUUGUUCCCUCUGUGAACAAAAAUCUGCUCCGCGUCGCGGACAGGAUGCGGACUCCACUGUUUCAAAAAUUUAUUUUCGUAACUCUUCUUAAGUUUAGCUGUCCUAAAUCAUUCCUAAACAUCAAGAGACCUUUCCUAUCACAAUCAUGAACCUUGAAUCCAUAAUCCAAUUCAAGGAAAAGGUUAGGAUCAAAGUCAAGUGAAGUUAUGAAGCAAGUCAAAGUAAGUUUUUAAAGUUUUCUUCAAGAGACUUUACUAAACGUCUAAACUUCGUUUUAAGACUCAAGUUUCAAGCAAAGUAAAGAGUAUAUGAGUUCUUUUUCUCAAGAGUUACUAGGGAACUACGUAUUCCCCAAAGAAGUUUAUAAAUGUUUUUACAUUUGAGUAAGAAAGGAACUAUGUUUUCCAAGAGAGCCUUUGGGCUAAGCUUUGAGUAAUUAUCUCAAAAUAAAGAAAGAUUUGUUUAAAACACUUAUGAGCUAAAGUAUNNNNNNNNNNNNNNNNNNNNNNNNNNNNNNNNNNNNNNNNNNNNNNNNNNNNNNNNNNNNNNNNNNNNNNNNNNNNNNNNNNNNNNNNNNNNNNNNNNNNNNNNNNNNNNNNNNNNNNNNNNNNNNNNNNNNNNNNNNNNNNNNNNNNNNNNNNNNNNNNNNNNNNNNNNNNNNNNNNNNNNNNNNNNNNNNNNNNNNNNNNNNNNNNNNNNNNNNNNNNNNNNNNNNNNNNNNNNNNNNNNNNNNNNNNNNNNNNNNNNNNNNNNNNNNUAUAUAUUGAGUUCAGUUAUUCAUGAGUUGAACAGAGCCAAGGUAAGAGUUCCUUUGUACUCCUUUCAAGCUUAAGUUGUUGUUUAGCUUUCUAGCUCACAUACUCGUAUAUUCCAUGUACUGAUGCCAGUUGGCCUGCAUCGUUUUAUGAUGCAGACGCAGGUACCCAGGAUCAACAUCCAGCACGCCGUUGAUCCAGCUGAGCACUCCAGAGUCAGUGGUGAGCCUCCUUGCCUUCCGGAGGACUCUGUUCUUUUAUGUUCCUAGUUUUGCUUUAUUAGGAUGUUGUGGGGUCUAUCCUAACAUCCAUCUCAGUGUUUUAGAGGCUUCAUAGACAGUCAGUCAGUUAGUAUUGAGUCUCUCAACUAUUUAUAUAUAUAAAUAUUCUAUUUUGAGACACGAGUUGCCUUUUGGCCAGUUUUUAUCAGUUGGGUUGUUUUAUGACCUUUCAUUGCAUUAAGUUAUUCUAUUGAGUUAGGUUUCCGCUGAGUUAAGAAAGCCAGGCCAAGGGUUCGCUUGGGGCUAGCAAUGGUCUUCGAGUGCUAGUCCCGCCCAGGGUGUAGGCUCGGGGCGUGACAGAAUCUCAACGAAUCGUAGCAACAAAAGAUACAUAGACUUUAAUUUAUUAGCUAAAGGAAUAUUGUUCGUACCUCAUGGAACAAUCUAGGGGUGUACAAAAUCGAACCGAAAACCGAAUCCAACCUCAAAUCGAGUCAAACCGAAAAAAAACCCCAUUAGUGUUUUGGUUUGACUUGGUUUGGUAUUGAAAAAAAUAACCCAACUUUAUUUGGGUUGGUUUGGUUUUAACUAAAAAGAACCAACCCAAGACCAAACCAACCCGACAUUAUAUAUAUAAUUUUAAAAUUUUAUUUUAUACAUAAAAAUAUUUACUUUGAUAUCAUUUUUAAAUAUUUCUUAUACUCUUUUAAUAUAUUAUUUCAAGUUUGAAACUUAGAAUUCUGAAUGAUUCAAUAAAGAUUAUAGUCCACAGAUGUUGGUAAUUAUAAUAAAGGUUAAAUCAAAAUCAAAUUAAUACUAAUGCAAAAAGAAAAUCAAUUCAACACUAAGAAUGACAAUAUAUAAUAUUGAAUAUUUAUUCUUUAGUUUUACGUUGGUUUAGACAAUUAAAAUACAUAAUCUAAUUUUAAUUUCCUUUAAUAUUUAGUCAUGUAACUAAUACUUAUUUUAACAUGAUUUAGUACUUUUAAAUUAUGAUCAUUUUCACCAUGACUUGUUAAUUUGCAAUAUUUGUUUUACGCAAUUUUAUUAUUACGUAUAUUUUUUUUGUUGGAUAUUUUAGUGUCAUUAAUCAUAUCAUAUUUUGUGUUAUUUUUUAAGAAACACCUUAGAUAGUUGUAUUUUAGUAGGACUAAAUAAAUAUUUGAAGUACAAGUAAAUUUUAUGUUUGUAUGAAUACUUUACCGAAAAAACCCGAGGUUGAAAAACCCGAGUUUUAUUGGUUUGGUUUGGUUUUAUAAAUUUAAAAAUCCGAUACAAAUGGUUUGGUUUGAUAUUUGAAAAACCCGAACCAACCCGGCUAUGUACACCCCUAGAACAAUAUUCAACAAAUUCGAGUUGACCUCCAAUACUACCAUCACAAGUAGUCAUCAAAUAUCCUCUUGCAAGCCUAACACAAGUAUCACAAUCUGAAUAUUGUACAUUUGAACCACAAGUAACAUGACCAUAAGCUAAAGCAUCAUCAUUAGGAUAAGGAGAUGUUAUGUAAUAAUCAUAACCUUGUUUUGGUGUCUCAUUACUUAAUUCUAUAAGAACAUAUAUAAGACAAACUAUCUGAAAAUGGACCAUUUUUGUCAUACAUUUCACCGUUGCAUGUAUGGUACCCAAUAAUUUAGACUCUGGAAAUUCACUUCUCACAAAAUAAUUAAAGUAACCCAUGACUAAAAUUAUAAUUAGGAAUGUGGUUAACACUCUAAUUCUCAAAAUUGAACUCAUAGAUAUAUGUAUAUAUUUUCUAUUACAUUUGUGUUACAAAUAAUUGAGUUUAGUACUUUAAUGUCCUUUUUUGUUUAAAUAGAUUUAUCCAUCCUUUGAUUUCUCCACCAAUGAAAAUUAAGUAUUCCAUAAUUUAUAUUUUAUAAAUUAUGUAUGUUGCCGGCAAAUAAACCAUUACUAUUUCUUUGCUUUGAUAUUAUAAAUCAUAAUGCUUGGUAUAAUUCUUGCAAAGAGAGGAAUAUUCAUCAUACAAAGAAAGAUCCAUUAAAAGCAAUUGAUGAUUAAUAAUACUGAUCAUGCAAUGUUAUUAUUAUUAUUGAAUUAUUUGGAUUUCUACUCAUAUAGAAUUAUUGGGUUUUAAAAUUAACAAUUUAUAUGUAUUAUAUAGGAUUUAGAUCAAAGCAACUGAAUUCAGCUGAAUCAAUAACUGAAAAACUAGCUCCACCCUUACUAGUUGCUUCAGGUACUCUAUAGUGAUUAUUGUGCAUUUGUUUUACAAUUUGAUUGUUUUUGUUAUUUAGUUUCGAUCAUUUGAUUUUCGAUUUUCAAACAUGAUUGCUCAACGUGAUUAUUGUUCCCUUCGUCCUAAUUUAUAUGAAAGUAUAAAUUAUAGUUUGACUCUAAAAAAGGAAAUCAUGACAAUUAAAAGUGAACGGAGGGAGUAGUAUAUAUUAUCUUCCUUCUUUUUUUUUGUUAAAGUUGUUAUAAAAACUCGUUCAUGGGUUAUGUUUGGAUGGUUAAAUUUCGAAUCCAAAGUUAAAAAAAACAUCACUUUUUCCCUUCAAAAUACAUAAAGGGCCAUUCAAAUUUUAGUUUAAUCAAAAAGGGACACUUCGCUAGAGAAGGAGCGAGAUAUGUUGGUGCUAUAACUACCGUUAACGAAAUAAAAAAAUUGAUCAUCUCGCUAACUUAUGAGCAAUUUUCCUCUUUUAUUUUAUCUUUUUUCUCGCUACUUAUGAGUGAUUUGCUCUCUAUUUUUUUCCCCCAAAUAUCGUUCUACACUAAGCGAAUUUGUAAGUUUUUUUUUUUGUUAUUCUCGUUGCACACUGAGCGAGUUCUCAACUUCUUUUAUUAUAUGCCCUCAUAGUAACCCCAUCAUUAAUUUUUAUUUAGAUAACGAUAAAAACUUUCUAAUAAAAUAGAAAACAUUUUUAUUUCUUAAUAUUUUUUAUAAAUUGAAGUAGGAUAAACAUUUUUCCAAUGAAAAAAUCAUUAUUAGAAAAAGAAUGUGUUUUAAAAAAAACAGAAAUAAUAUAUCAUUUUUGACCUAUUAAGUACAACAAUAAGUGCAUUUUUAGACCAAACUAGUGAAGACAAUCAUAUUUUUUUAACCCCUUUUCUGUUAACUAGUUUUACGGAACGUGCGUUGCACGUUUAACUCAAAGUACAUAAUACAAAUCUUAUAUUGCAAAUGAUAUAGUUAAAUAAUAUAUAUUUUAUUUCACUUUUUCAGUACAAUAAAAUAAAAAUCAAAACAUAUAAAAAAAGUAACAACUCAUAAGUUAAAGGCUAAAAAAUCUUACAAACAUGAUACAUAUUUUAGUGACAUAUAACACCUUAAUUUAAAUACUCAUUGAAUAGACAAUAAGAAAUAAACUGAUGCGCAUAUAUUGAAUCCCAUCAUGAUCAAUCCAAAUACACAAAAAUCUUAUAAAAUUUGCUUCGGCUCAACCACAUGUACAUUAAAAAGUAAGAAAGUAGAAAAGGGAGAUAAUUGUAUAUUAAUUAGUAUAGCGACAUAAACCUAAAAAUAUGAUAACAUUAAGUUAUCAAUUAAUAUACUUUGUUAAUUAAGUACCUGAAACUAAAAUUAGUGGAGAAGAAGAAAUUAACUAAAUAAGAAGAGCUUGUGCAGACUGUAGUGAGAAAAAGAUCAUAACUCAUAAGCACAAAUAGAGAUCUUUAAUAAGAACAAUGAAAAUUGAAAUGCAAAUGAUGAAUCAGUUGGAAGGGAAUAGAAACUUAAGAGAUAUUUAUAUAUUAAUAUAUGUGAAGACUCCUUCAAAACUUUCAAUAUUAUAUUAUUAAUAUUUGGGAGUUAAUAGACUUAUUUAAUAGUGUUUUAUAAUUAGUUCAUGUAAUUAGAGGAAGAUGAAAAAACUUUCUUGAAAGUAACAAUUUUUUAUUUUUAUAUUUGGUGGAGAAACUGUCUUCUCCUUUAUUUGAGUAAAUAAAUAGGUGAGCAUUUAAGCAGUUUUCAGUUUUUUCCCCUUCAUUACACAUAUAUGUUAGUAAUUUAAUUAGGUGUUUAUGCUUUCUAAUCAUGGACAAAAAUGUUACUUCAUUUUACGUGAGAAUUACAAUAGUUUUUGUUUCUUCUUCUUCUUCACAUGUUUUUUUAGUCAUUUAAUAUGAAAUUUAUUUUUUCUAAUCAUGGAUAAAAAUGCUACUUAACUUUACAGAAUAUUUUCAUAAAUUAACUGUUCUCUCUUUUUUUUUCUUUUUUUUAAUAUAGCAAUUUAAUUUGAUAAUGACUUACGAAAUUGAGAAGUCUAUUAAACACAAAUGGACAUGAGACUCUUUAGCUUAUAAGGGGGAAAAAAACAGAUGUGUUAAAAUCCAUUCCAAUUCACAACUGAAGUCAUAACCAUCAUUUAAUAGAAUCUCAACUUUAAUGUCUAAAUACACUCAAGGUGCGUUAGUCCUGCAAAUUGGUCUAGUAAUAAGAUUAGGACAUUAAAUGUAUAUAAUAAUAAUAAUAAUAACAACAACAACAACAUGAUAAGAUUAUUAUUUAAUAUUUAAUAAAUUAGAUAUUUUAUAACAUUUUUAUUUAGAAAUAAGGGGAAGAUGGGGUAUAUGAUUAAUAGUAGAUCCCUUAAUAGUAUUAUUGUAGUAAUUCAACUUUAUAAGGUUAUUUUGGUAUUUCAACUUUCAACUUUUUUUGUUCUCACUUUUAGUAAUAUAAUAAUAAUAAUAAUAAUAAUAAUAUAUGAAUGAUAUGAUGAUGAUAUAUACAUUGUUUUAUCUAUCAUAACUUUUCAAAAUUUUCCAUUGAGAAUUAUGAUCAUGAUUUAAAACAAUAUCAAUGUACUCAUUUAUCAAGAAAAUAACAAUUUAAUUAUUAAAUGGCUUAAGGACUUAAAUUCUACCAUUAUGUAACUAAAUUAUUUGUAUUUAAUUAAAUAAUUAAUCCAAUUUUUAUUUAGUAAAAGGGCAAAAUGGUAAUUCAACUUUUCACUUUGAAGCUUCCCACUUAUAAUAAUAUAUGAUUAAAUCAUCACAAAAUCCCCCAAAUCAAGCAUUCAAAAACCAAAAAACAUUCAAAUAGGUUUCUAUUAUCAAAUAAAACCUUGCAUAUGGUUGUAAAGAUCCACCCAAUUUAAUUUCUCUUCAACAUAUUUCAUUCUCUCUGGAAUCUCCUUCAGCUUUGAACAGUGACCGAUAGCAAGUCUUUUAAUGAGAGGCAUGGCACUUGUGGCUAAAUGGCACAUUAUUUCUUUUCCAUUAUAAGCCUCUUCUAAUAUGAGAUCUCUUAGAUUUGGCAACAUUCCCAAAGUAGGCAUCGAAUCAUGGCAUCGAAUCUUCCAUGAGUUUUGACUUCCAAAGAACCAUCAUAGUGAUGGAAUUUGGAAACAGAGGCAGUUUCUCUAUUCUCCCUUUUAACAACAAUUUCUGGACCUUUUGACAAGAACUAAGAAAUUCAAGGGAUGAGAAUGAUUUAUCCAAUUUACAAAACAAUCUGAGACUACUAAGGUUUUUCAAGCUGCUAAUGUUGUUCAGGGAGUAAGAUUUGGUAAUUCGAUGCAUGCUUAAUUCUCGAAGAUUGACUAAAUCAACAGGGUCAACAUCUUUCCACUGAUCACAACGAACGUCUUUAAGAACUUCCAAACUAAUGAGUUUGCUUAUACGUUUCAGAGGUUUUGAAUAUGAAGCAACUAAAUGUCUUAGAUUUAUCAGGUGGGUAGUUCGCAAGAGUAUUCCCCCUCAUUGACAACAAGUGUCUGUAGAUUCUUCAGGUUGCCAAUGGAAGAGGGAACAUCACGGAUACCUCUCAAUAUUAGCAACUUAAGGUGGUACAAACUUCCAAUGGCAUCAGGUAUUAUAGACACAGCACGCAUAUCCAAGUACAACACAUAGAGAUGUUGGAACACACUACUGAACUUCAUAAGACUCAUAUUAUGAAAAUCUGGAUCAGAGAACAUAAUUGACCUCAACUUCAAGUUAGAAAGAUCAAGUGAGAGGUACCUUUCUCCUUCACUAUGAAUGACAUGUCUGAUACAUAAGGAGGAUAUCGAGUGCUUUCUUGGAUCAUAAAAGUCAAAGAAGUUUACCUCCAAUGCCUUUUGUAUCGCAAGAUCACGGAGUAAAUCAUGAACCCUACAGUCAGUAACUUUUUCCCAAAGUGUUUUAGCCACUUGAACCAAGCUUCGUCUUAUCAGCUCAUUCAAGAAGCCUUCAGCGACAUCCUCCAUCCACAACCGUAUUAUGUUAUCAGCCUCAAGCACUUGAUCUUCUGGAAAAAUACCAAAGUAGAGAAAACACUGCUUGAGCGCAGUUGACAAAUCAUUGUAGCUUAAUGAUAGUAUGUUAGAUAUUUCAAUAAAUUUAUCUUCUUUAAUGUUCUUCCACCUUUUGCCAUUCGUUUAGCCCCUUUUUAUGCGAAAGUAGUCCGCUCAAUACAACAAUUGCAAGAGGUAAGCCUCUACACUUUUCCACCAUAUCCUUAGCUAGACUUUCCAUUUCUGGAACCAUUGCUCCAACAUCAAGCAGUUUCCUACAAAAGAGAUCCCAACUUUCUUCUUGACUUAGGAAACGAAGUUUAUGAACAAAACNNNNNNNNNNNNNNNNNNNNNNNNNNNNNNNNNNNNNNNNNNNNNNNNNNNNNNNNNNNNNNNNNNNNNNNNNNNNNNNNNNNNNNNNNNNNNNNNNNNNNNNNNNNNNNNNNNNNNNNNNUAAGAAGAUCCAUUGUGUUGUACUCUUGAGAAACACAUAUCCAAGAGCGUGUAGGGAAACUAGAGGCUAUAUUAGGACUGGUGUAAAGUUUUCUCGCAAGAGUGGUCUUGCCUAAACCCCCCAUUCCAUAAAUGGAGAGGACGCUUCGACGAGGCUCUGCUUUGAGAAGUUCAGCUAGCAAGUUUUGUACAACAUCCUGAAAGCCAACAAAAAUGUAAUCGUGGUCAUCCACAUAUGAGGUAGUUCUCCUCAAUGUUGCAACCUGAUUACUUGGCCCUUCUCCAGCAUUACUAUUGAUAUUUGUAAUACCAUAAGUCUCUCGUUUGCGAGAGAUAUCCAUGAUUCGUUUCUUGAGUGAUUUGAUCUCCUUGGCGACAUUGUAGAAUUUCUUCUCCUUCCUACAUAUGCAAGCACAAGCCUUGAGAUAACUAGCACGUUUACCAGCCUCAAAGCUGUAAGUUUCGAGUAUAGCAACAGCGUCAUUAGCAAUAGAGUUGAUCUCAAACACCCAUUGUACAACUCUAUGAUCCGCACAUUGCUUUAGUUCUGCAUCUUUGAGGAAAGGUUGUAUGAAGAGUAGCUCAUUUCUCAGCCAUGUAAUUUCAUCUCUGAGACUUGUAAGCAGGGAAACUUGUUGACUGAGGAAAUCGCCCAAUUUUCGUAGUGCAAAUGACAGAAAGGCAUCAGCCAUCUUCAGGAGUGUUGAUUUUUAUUUAGAAAAGAGGGGGCUGUAGGCUGUAUAUAUACAAAUAAAGUUUAAGUCAAGAAUUGAUAUAAGGCCAAAAAUGGACGAUCAAUACGAAAGCAAGACAUGAAUUAUUUGCCGGCAUAUGCAUUGGUUAAAACACUAUGUGGCUGUGUUUGAUACUCAUCAAUGUCAUAUCAUGAUAACAAGUUAAGACAAUUCAAAUUGAAUUAUCACCUGAAAUUAAAUUUAUCUUUUGUAGUAACAUAAUCAGUAAUCACAUAUAGUUCCCUGAUAGUACAUAUAUUUUUUUUAAAUACAAUUUCCUUAGUAAAAAUCAUAGCACUCAUAGUGCAUAUAAUUUUUUCUUAAAAAUUAUCAUUAUAAGUAAAAAUAAAAUAAAAUGGGACCCCAAAAAUAUGGGCCCCAAGUAAUGGAUUUAGUGGCCUAGGGGUUAAGACGGCCCUGGUUGUGGUAAAUGACAGUUAGUGGUAUUAAAUACUUCUAGUAAUUCUAUUUUAUCAUUUACCGUAACUUUAUUAUAAUAGCUUUAUCACGCAACCUAUUUUAUUAUAAUACGAUAAAGAGGUUGUUUUCGAAAGACCCUUGGCUCAAGAAAAAGAUUUUGAAAGAAAUGCAAGAGCCAAAAAAGUUGCUAUGAAAAUAUGGAUUCCUCUGAAUAUUUAGUGAAGUCUGAAUUCUGAUACCAUGACGGUUUCUGAAGAAACCAGAAACUUCUCUAACAGACUAGUAAUUUGAUGAAGAAUAUUUAGUGAAAACUAAAAACAAGUAGCACCAAAAGCAUGGAAUAUUUAAUUUGCAUUGAUGGAGAAAUCAAGUUCUUGAGUUUUGUAAAAUAGACAAACACUGACUCUGUACCUUGCUGCAGAGUUGCAAUCUCCUUAUUUAGACUGAAGGUUCUUGAUCCGUCCAAGGGUCUUUCGAAAACAAUCUCUUUGUAAAAUAGACAGACACUGACUCUGAAUUCUGAUACCAUGACGGUUUCUGAAGAAACCAGAAACUUUUCAAACAGACUAGUAAUUUGAUGAAGAAGAUAGCUUCAUUUACUUGAUGAGUAACAAUCAGAUGUGAGUAGUCUAUUUAUACUACUCAAUAAGCUACUCAAUACAAGUUGUUGUUAGUAACUAACUGUCACUAUCUAUAACUAACUUAGUAACUAAUUAAUUAACACUCUUUUCUAACUGUUUUCUGGAAGUAGUCUGACAGAUUUCUUUGUUUGAGUUCUAUCAACAUGGUGCUAGAUAGUUAAAACAAAAACAACCAACAUUAUAGUAGAUCAAGCUAUAAUUAAUUUGAUUUAUGAAAAAACAUAGAACCAAUAGAGAAAAACAAUUGAGAAAGAUUGAACAACAGAGUCUUGCGUCUUAAGUGAAGAACUAAUCAUAAACUUAAAAGAAAGAAUUUCACUGAGAAAACGAUUUGGGUGGGGGAGAGGUGGGGGAAGACGAUUUCACAUGUCUUUAUUUAAUUCGUCACUUUGACGUGUCAUCAGCGAGUGUGUUACACACACCUUACACAUUUGGCUGAUUGUUAAAAAAGUGUCAAAAAGACAUAACGGGGCAUAACAUGAGGUGUCUAAAAUGAACAAAUUCUAGUUAAAGUGUCUAAGUGAAAACUUGUGCCAACUUUAGGUGGCCACCGAUGGAUUAGGCCAAUGAUAGUUAGGUACGAGCAUUACUCAUUCAGCUAAUAAACUAGAGCCUACUCUUGUUGCCCCGAUCCACAGAGAUUUAGUCAUUUGGCACUCUGAUUGUCUUACGAGGAGAUCCAUCUGUUGAUUUUUGGUGUGACCCUAAUUUCUAUUUCGUUCAUGUUUUUUUUGUCUUUCCAUUGUUUUGUUGUUGUAAUGUGAUUUCUUAUGUUUGUUAAAGUUGCAAGAAUUUUCAGGUUUAUGUCAGAAGAUUCAGUACUACUACUCACUACUAGUUAUCUAAUUUAAGUUAAACAAAGAGGAACUUGAAAAUAUUAGUUUAGAACAAAGUAACUUAAAAGAGACUAAAAUACUAAGUGUAAAUUACAAGAGAGAAAUGAAAACAUAUAGCCUUUGGUAGCCAAAAUCCAAAGUUGCAUUGUCUCUCCUCUGAUGGAUUAUUUUCCCUCUUCAAACUUCGAUGAGUUAGGGAUGACCUCUGAUAUAGCCUUUGGUAGCCAAAAUCCAGGUCGUUCGAUAGAGGCUGCACGAUCAAGUACCAAUGGAUCCCGCAAUGUGAUCUGAAUGCCAUCAUAUGUCCACAACUCUAGCUAAGCCAGCAACCGCAACAUCCAUGUUCUUGACAUUCCAGCUCGUUCCACGUGCUUUUACUUCCUGCUUUGGCCAUUGUCCUAAUUUAGAAACUCGCUCCAUAGAAAUCAGAGGCGGAAGAUAAGAAAAAAAAAAAAAGGAACAAUUAGAGGAUUUUAUUUACACAUACGGCACUAUGACAUCUGCUAUUGGCUAACUUGCAACAUGUUGUUAGUUGUUAACUUGUUUUUGCAACUACGACUUCUCUUUAGCAAAGAAUACUAUCUCACCUUUCAUUGUACUUCUCUCAAAUCUAUAUGUUGAUAUUCAACAAAAAACAUAAUACUCAUGUAGUUCAAGUGGAAUUGGCUAUAAAGUAGGAAAUAUUAUUGAAUCAGAAAUAGUGCAGGAAUUGGAGUAUAACCUGCAAUCUCACUCCAGCAUGGUUUUCUGUCUUUACUAGAUGAAGAGACACACUAGGUGAUGCCCAGACAGUGAUGUAGAUUGUUUCAACUGAGGCUUGAACUAGAUCCAGUCUAACUAUAUGUACAGUCUGCCCAUGCUGCAAGAAAAUGGUGAAAAUUGCAUUUUAGAGUCGAAAAGUCAUUUUUGCAGCCUUACCCUGCAUUUAAGGAAGAGGCUGUUUUCACAACUCGAACCCAUGACCUCCUAGUCACAUGGAAGCAACUUUAUAGUUACGUCAAAGCUCCCCUUCAGUAGACAAGUAAGAAAAGAUGUCCUCCAGUGGAAAAGGAAAACCAAAUAUAUCAGUCCCUCCCUUAACCAAUUGAGACUUGAUCUGGUUAAAUAUUAUGAAAAUAUUUUCUUUUCUCUUCAAGUGACAAUUUCUUCUCCUGUUUCCCCCAAAUAUUAUUUAACACGUACGCUAUUUAUAAAAUAAAAAUGAACAAAGUUAUGUAUAGGUACCUUUGCUAUUACCGAAGAAAACUUGCCAUAUGCUUGCCAAGAUCCAUCUCAUUUAAUUUCUCUUCAACAUCUUUCAUUCUCUCUGGAGUCUCCUUCAGCUCUGAACAGUGAUGGAUACCAAGACCUUUAAUGAGAGGCAUUGCACUUGUGCCUAAAUGCCAUCUUUCUAGGUUCCGAAGUUUUAUAAGAUGAAGGAACUCGAGUUGACUGAAGCUGUUAUCACUGCACAUUAUUUCUUUUCCUUCAUAAGCAUCUUCUAAUAUGAGAUUCCUUAGGUUUGGCAACAUUCCCAAAGUAGGCAUCGGAUCUUCCAUGAAUUUUGACUUCCUAAGAACCAUCAUUGUGAUGGAAUUUGGAAACAGAGGCAGUUUCUCUAUUUUCCCAUGUAAGCACAAUUUCUGGAGCUUUUGACAAGAAUUAACAAAUUCCAGGGAUGGGAAUGAUUCAAAACGUUCACAAAACAAUCUGAGAGUGCUAAGGUUUUUCAAGAUGCUAAUGUUGUUUAAGGAGUAAGAUUUCUUAAUACGUUGCAUGCUUAAUUCUCCAAGAUUGACUAAAUCAACAGGGUCAACAUCUAUCCACUGAUCACAACAAACGCCUUGAAGAACUUGAAGACUAGUGAGUUUGCUUAUAAGUUUCAGAGGUUUUGAAUACGAAGCAACUAAAUGUCUUAGAUUUAUCAGGUCAGCUGUCACGCGGGGUAGUCUGCAAGAGUAUAGCCCCUCAUUGACAAUAAGUGUCUGUAGAUUCUUGAGGUUGCCAAUGGAAGAUGGAAGAUCAUGGAUACCUCUCAAUCUUAAGAACUUGAGGUGGUACAAACUUCCUAUGGCAUCAGGUACUGAUGCAGAAUGCCUAUUGUAAACAGGCAUAUCCAAGUACAACACAUAUAGAUGCUGGAAAACACUCCUGAAUUUUAUAAGACUCAUCUUAUGAAAAUCUGGAUCAAAGAACAUAAUUGACCUCAACUUUAAGUUAGAAAGAUCAAGUGAGAGGUACCUUACUCCUUGACUAUGAAUGCCAUGUCUGAUACAUAAAGAGGAUAUGGAGUGGUUCUUUGGAUCAUAAAUGUCAAAGAAGUUCACCUCCAAUGCCUUUUGUAUCACAAGAUCACGAAGUAAAUCAUGAACCCUACAAUGAGUAACUUUUUCCCAAAAUGUGUCUACCACUUGAACCAAGCUUCUUCUUAUCAGCUCAUUCAAGAAGCCUUCAGCCACAUCCUCCAUUCUUUCUUCUCCAUUUGGUACGAAACCCUCAGCCAUCCACAACCUUAUUAUGUUAUCAGCCUCGAGAACUUGAUCUUCUGGAAAAAUACCAAAGUACAGAAAACACUGCUUGAGCACAGUUGACAAAAUCAUUGUAGCUUAAGGAUAGAAUGCAGGAGAUUUCAAUAAAUUUAUCUUCAAUAAUGUUCUUCCAAAGUUGAUCUUUCACUUCUUGCCAUUUGUCCACCCCCCUCUAUGCGAAAGUAGUCCACUCAAUACAACAAUUGCAAGAGGUAAGCCUCUACACUUUUCCACCAUAUCCUUAGCUAGACUUUCCAUUGCUGGAACCAUUGCUCGAACAUCAAGUAGUUUCCUACAAAAGAGAUCCCAACUUUCUUCUUGGCUUAGGAAACGAAGUUUAUGGAUAAAACCUCUGUUGUCUGCUCUUUCAGCGACAUCCUCUUUGCGCGUGGUAAUAAUAACUCUGCUGCCAUUCUUGCUAUCCGGGAAUGCUCUUUUCAAACUUUCCCAUGCUUCUCUCUGCCAUACAUCAUCAACCACCACAAGGUAUUUGCGUUCUUUUAAUAGAUCACGAAGAUAAAUUUCUAGAUCUCCUUCUGUCAUCCUUUCCAACAAAUCUAGAGUUUCGUUGGUGCGCCCUUGGAUGGAUUUUAUGAUAUUCCUGAAAAGAUCCAUGGUGUUGUACUCUUGAGAAACACAUAUCCAAGAGCGUGUAGGGAAACUAGAGGCUAUAUUAGGAUUUUUGUAGAGGUUUCUUGCAAGAGUGGUCUUGCCUAAUCCGCCCAUUCCAUAAAUGGAGACGACGCUUCAACGAGGCGCUGCUUUGAGAAGUUCAGAUAGCAAUGUUUGUACAACAUCCUGAAGUCCAACAAAAAUGUAAUCCUGGUCAUCCACAUAUGAGGUAGUUCUCCUCAAUGUUCUGACCUGAUUACUUGGCCCUUCUCCAGCAUUACUAUUGAUAUUUGUAAUACCAUAAGUCUCUCGUUUGCGAGAGAUAUCUAUGAUUCGCUGCUUGAGUGAUUGAAUCUCCUCGGCGACAUUGUAGAAUUUCUUCUCCUUCCUGUAUAUGCAAGCGCAAGCCUUGAGACAACUAACACCUUUACCAGCCUCAAAGCUGUAAGUCUCGAGUAUAGCGACAGCAUCAUUAGCAAUAGUGUUGAUUUCAAGCACCCAUUGUUGAACUCUAUGAUCUACACAUUGCUUUAGUUCUGCAUCUUUGAGGAAAGACUGUAUGAAGCGUAACUCAUUUCUCAGCCAUGUAACUUCAUCUCUCAGACUUGUUAUCAGUGAAAUUUGUUGAAUGAGGAAAUCACCCAAUUUUUGAACUGCAAAUGACACAAAGGCAUCAGCCAUCUUUAUGGUUGAAAAAAAGAAGAGAUGACUAUUGGAAAUCAAUAUUUUUUGAAAAAAGGUAGUGUGUAUGGAAAUUAAUAUUGGAAGCAGUAGAUUGAGAGAUGAAUAAUAUUGUUAUGAUGGAAUAAAUUAUUGAGAGUUUGAUAAGUGAUGAAUAUUGUUAACAUGGAAUUCAGUAUUUAAAGCUUAAAAAAUCCGACAGAGGAAAAAGUCUAAAAGUAGAAAGAUGAUAGAGUUUGAGGUUGAUGGUAAAGAAAGAAAAGUAUAUAUUCUCUACUAACUGCAAGCCAAGAAUUUAAAAUUGCAUGACACAAGUUAUGCUCAGUGUAGUGGUGAAGCCAAAAGUUGCCAUUCAAGAUUUAGUAUAUAUGUAUGAAAAAUAAGUUUUAACUUUUGUAUAAUUUUUUAUAUACAUAGUAUAAUUUUUCGACGAAAAAUGUCUGAUUGAACACCCUAAGCUAUAUGUGGCUACGCCACUGCUUCAUUGGCACAAGUUGUGUGUUUAGACAAGAACUUAUGUCCCAAGGCACAAGUCCCCCAGAGCAAACAACAACAACAAGUAGGGUCUGGAGAGGGCAAAAUGUAUGCAGACCGUACCACUACCUCGUGGAGGUAAAGGUUGUUUCAAAAAGGCCCUCGGCAAUAAGUCCCCUGGGUCAAAUAUCACGAUAUUUCUGUACUUUAUACUUUACUUAAAAAGACAUAGUAUCAUAUUAGAUCAAAUUUUAUUAUUCAGAAGAGUUGGUUUAAUUGUUCCUCCACCUAAAUCACUUUUUGCUAAUUAAUUUCAUCUUUAAAUUAUAGAUACCUUUCUUUUCUUUUUAACUAUCCUUGUUAGGGGAAUCUAUAGGAAAAAAUAUGAUGAACAUGACUUCUCAAUUUGAAGAUGCGUUUUGUAACUUUGAAGAGAAGAAAUAAAAUAUUUGAAUUCAGUCUCGGAGGUUAUUCCAAAAAGAUUUUGUAAGAGCUUGAAGGUCAAUAUCUCAAAAUUGAUUUGCUGAAAAAGAAUUUUGUUUCGAAUUGGUGAUUUUUCAAAAGAACUGAUGAAACAUCGAUGAGACUAAUAAUAUAAAAUUUGAGAUUAUUUGGGUAACAUUUGAAUUAGCUUUAGACUGAAUUUUUAAUUAUAGUUCGUUGAAAUUCAAAAUUACCGUCGAAUUAUAUCAAAAAUCAUAUGAUAAUCAUAUAGUGACGGAUGCAUUAUAUGUAAAUUGUUUUUUAAGUUUGGUAUUUUAUUGUAGUUGUAUUGUUUUCGGUCUCCCACUCGGUGUCCGAUACCCGCUAGAGCUCGACUAUCUCGAAUUCGCGCCGUGUAGAGCCAUUUGAGGGGAAGCGCUCUCUAACAAGUAAAUUCCACAGUACUCUUUAAUAUAAUUUUAUUUUAUUUUUUACUAAUUAAUUCAAAGAAGUAGAAUACUCUAUGGUUAAUUUUUGCAUAAAAAUUAGGAAAAAAACAUCUCAGAAAGUUACUUAGUUAUAACAAGCAACAAACAGUUUUGUGAACUAAUAGCCCACCAAUAAGCUCUUUAACAUAAGUAAUUUAUGUAGGGAAACUUUCGCAUAUAGCCACUAAUUAUAAAAAUAGCUUAAUUAUGUAUAUUGCCACUAAAAAUAGCUUAAUUAUACAUAUUGCCACUAAAAAUAGCUUAAUUAUGCAUAUAGCCACUAAAAACAAGUUAUACCAAAAUCAUGGAAUAUUUAAGUUGCAUUGAUGGAGAGACCAAUAGAGAUGGACAAAUCUAUUUAAACAACAUGUGAAACUCAAAACAAAUAGAAGAUAGGAAGAUAUACAAUAAUAGAGAGGCUAGAUACAUAUGGAUUCAAUUUUGAAAAUGAAAAUUCUAACCACAUUCCUUAUAAUUGGAAUAUUUUUGUUUGAUAGUUUUGUGAGAAGUGAACCAAAUACCAAAGAGAUUAGCCAUAUUUGCAAUGGGAAUGUGUAUGAUAAGACUUAAGAGUGGCCCAUUUGCACUAAGUUUGGCUUAUGCUGUUGAAGCAUUACAAAAUGUGACACUAAAUCAAGGUUAUGAUUACUUCAUAACAUCUCCUUAUCCUAAUGAUGCUUUAGCUUAUGGCCAUGCUACUUAGCUUGCAACUCCAUUAUUGAAUUUUCAGAUUGUGGCCUUUGUCUAAGUAGUGCAAAAUCAUUCUUGUUGAGUAAUUGUGAUGGUAGCAUUGGAGGUCAAGUUGAAUUUGUUGAUUGCUCAAUGAGGUACGAACAAUACUCGUUCAGCUAAUAAACUAGAGCCUAAUCUUUUUGCCAUGAUCCACGAAGAUUCAGUCAUUUGUCACUCUGAUUGUCUUAUGAAGAGAUUCCUCAUUGAUUUUUGAUGUAUCCCUGAUUCCUAUCUCGUUUCGUUCAUCUUCGUUUCUUCCUUUUUCCGUUGUUUUGUUUAUUAGGAAAGGCAAGCACAAAAUAAAUGUGCACGACAGGGCAAUAGCGGAAGAAAAUCCAAGUAAAAAAUUUCCCUUCUAUUUGAACCAAGAGAAGACAAAAUAAUGCAAGAAAAACACUGUUUGGGGUCGCAAACAAAUCAAUCAAGCAAAUAAAAUAAAUACAAACACGAGACACCAUAUUUAACAUGGAAAACCUCUUCGGUGUGAAGAGUAAAAACCACAAGGCCAAAGCUCCACUAAAAUCAACAAGAGUUACAAAAGUGUUCUCCAAAAUGGUCACCAACAAAGUGUCAAACAAUGAGCAACACAACUACAAGAUAGCACCAAACACUAGAGAAAUAAAAGGAGCAAAAACACCAAAUAUGCAGCUACUGUUCACGAGCAAAAAUCUGGAGUUACAGGACUCCAAAACACCCUCUUUCAGUUCUCAAUCAAAGAUUAAGUUGGAAGGAACAAGCUGUACAAAAAGCAGCUCAAUCGGAUAAGAAACGAAGUUGGAAUCGCGAUUUGAAAUUGGCUGCAAGGGCUUGUGCGAAAAUCUGCACUCUCUCACUGUUGUCUCUAUAUGUCUACUCUCAAUCUCAUGUAAUUCUUCAAAAUAAGACCUAAAAAGAAAGUCUUACAUAUGCACCAUAAUAUUGGGCUUAUAGACAAAAGUGGGCUAAUCAAAUUUGAGCUAAAUUUAUCCACAUAGGAAGGGAAAAAGGCCCAAAACCCAACAUUGUUGUUGACUUGUUGUAUCUAUAUGUACUAGAUGGUGGGUGCCCGGGCGCGCACGGACCCAAUAUUUAUACAUCUCUGUGUGUAAAAAUUAUCUUGGAACGCAAAACAGAUGAGAUAGCAGCACCAAAACAAAUGGAUCUAAAUCAAUGAGCAUCAAAAGAACACCAGAGAACGGUAACAAAAAAAUUUAUGCUUUAUUUAGUAGUUAACAUGAACUACAUGCAGUAGGAUGAUAAACAUAGCAAAUAAAGAGGUCUAAAAUAUAUUGAAUAAAUUAAGAAUUUAAAAUGCAAUUAUAACAGUGCAACGAUGUUUGUUGAACAACAAACAUAGAAUCAAAGUUAGGAAACCUCUCAUUUUGAGAAAUUUAUAGAAUCUUUCUUAAAGUUCAGUUUUAAUAACAAAAUGGUUUAUCAAAAUUUUAUUGAUCAAGAUAUCAAAUCUCACCAUAGGAGCUAGGUCAUUCUCAUGUGAUAUUAUAAGAUUUUCAAUAGCUACAUAUUAAUUUAUCAGAAGCUCAACUAUCCAAAUGAAUUUUAAAAGAUGCAUUUCAUUUUUUACCGUUAAUUCUAUACUACCUUAAAAGCAUUAACUCCAAACUUGAAUGUUGAAUUACAAUAAUACCCCCAAUUAAAAAUACUCAAUUUAUUUAUUUAUUAAUUUAAAUAAGUUUAUUAUAUUGAAAGUAGAUACCUUUUCAAAUUAAAGGAUUGCGACUUUUUCAAUGAGUUGUGACUUUUUUUUUACGGGUUCUGACUUUUUCAAUGAGUUGUCACUUUUCCAAAGGGUUGUGAUUUUUUCGAAGGGCUGUGACUUUUCUAAAGGGUUGUGCCUUUUCUGAUGAGUUGUGCCUUUUUCAAAGGGUUGUGGCUUUGCUGAUAUGCAGUGACUUUUUUGAAAGGUUGUGACUUUUCGGAUAAGGCACAAUUAANNNNNNNNNNNNNNNNNNNNNNNNNNNNNNNNNNNNNNNNNNNNNNNNNNNNNNNNNNNNNNNNNNNNNNNNNNNNNNNNNNNNNNNNNNNNNNNNNNNNNNNNNNNNNNNNNNNNNNNNNNNNNNNNNNNNNNNNNNNNNNNNNNNNNNNNNNNNNNNNNNNNNNNNNNNNNNNNNNNNNNNNNNNNNNNNNNNNNNNNNNNNNNNNNNNNNNNNNNNNNNNNNNNNNNNNNNNNNNNNNNNNNNNNNNNNNNNNNNNNNNNNNNNNNNNNNNNNNNNNNNNNNNNNNNNNNNNNNNNNNNNNNNNNNNNNNNNNNNNNNNNNNNNNNNNNNNNNNNNNNNNNNNNNNNNNNNNNNNNNNNNNNNNNNNNNNNNNNNNNNNNNNNNNNNNNNNNNNNNNNNNNNNNNNNNNNNNNNNNNNNNNNNNNNNNNNNNNNNNNNNNNNNNNNNNNNNNNNNNNNNNNNNNNNNNNNNNNNNNNNNNNNNNNNNNNNNNNNNNNNNNNNNNNNNNNNNAAAAAAAAUAAUUAUUUUUUGAAAUAGCUAUAUGUGCCGUCCCGUUUAUCCCAUCCCGUUCCGUUCCGGUCCAUUCCGGUCCGUCCCGGUUCUAUCCCGGUAUAUAGUGGGACGGGACGGAACCGAGCCUCCAUCCCGGUAGUUCCGGUCCGGUUCAUCCCGGUACCGGUCAACAACCCGGUCAAACCGUCCCGUUCCGGUCCGGUUCCGGUUCGUUCCGGUCCGGUGGUCCCAUUCCGGUCCGGUGCCCAGCCUUAGGCACAAUUAACACCUAUUCAUACUACUAUUUGACAGUUAUAAAAAGAGGGGUUUCCUCGCACUUUUAAACUACAUUUUCUUUAAGUUCUCUACUCUUCUUUUUCUUAAAAAAUCUCAAGUGUUAUUUGCAAAAAUUGAUUAAGUUCAAAAUUCGAGGUACCUCAUAAGAAAAAGUUGGUGAAAAAAUUGUAGGAAUCAUUCAUCAAUUCACACUCGUAUUUUUUUCUUACCAUUUUCAUGAGUUCAGUGACGAAAAGUUGUGGGAGAGACAAAAUAUUAAACAGAUAUGAAAAAAGGCAUAUGAUUUGGGUAAGAUAUUUCUUCUUUGUUUUUUAUUUUCUAUUCUUUUCCCUCAAACGAAGGAGUUUCUUCCUAAUUUUUCUAAAACAAUGGGUAUCAACGUAGUCCAUUGAAUUAUUAGUUUUGAUAUUAAAUUCAUUAUUCAAAAAUAGAUUUUCACUUUUACUUAUAAUAUGAUAACAUAGUCAUGAUAAUAAUUAUUUUUAAUAGAUAUGUAUGUAAAAAUGAAAGGAGAAAGUAAAGUGUUGGUGGCAAGAGAUUUAAAUCAAAUGGAACACUAGAGUGAAUAUAGCAUGAACAUAUAUUUUUGUCUUCCUUCUUCAUUGACUAUGUAUUGUUCCAUAUAAUUUUUCUUUAUGUCACAAGAUGCACACUCCUUACUAGCUAUAUAAAAAUAGAUAAGAAAAUUGUGAUUGAUCAUUAAAUGAUCUUAUAUCAUAUUAAUGAUUCUAUAAAUAAUACUUUACAUUUUAUUCAUCUAUUGUUUUUUAUUAUUGAAAAUAUUAAAUAUUUAAUAUCAUGAUACAACUUCUAUAAGAUACUAAUACUUUCAUUAGACAACAACUAUAUGAUAUGUAUGCGGCAAAAAAAAGGAGAAGACUACAACUCCACAAAGAUAAGGUAGAAACUUAACGAAAUGAAAUAUUUUUCAUCAUAGGUGAUGUUAUUCAUGUAUUAAAAUUAAAUUAUUCUACUGAAGUAUAUAUAAUCAUCAUUCAUUAUAACAACCAAGUACACCUUUUUUGUAAAAUCACCUCUCUAUGAUAGUCUUACUCAAAUAUUAAUAGAGUAAUAAUAUUUUGUAAAAGAUAUGUUACAUAUAAAGAUAAAAUAUUGAAAUACUUAUGGUAAUCCUUAUUAGUGUCAUGCGCAUACUAAAGUACAAGUAUGAAUAUUUAAGACAAAAUCUGUACUUAAAUGGUGUACAUCAUUUAUGUUUAUAACCUCAAGAGGAAAGGGUAUUGGUGACAUUUUUUUAAUGAAUAUUUUUUUUCUAUUUUGUUGGUUAGAUUUGUUUACAAAAUUGAGUGAAGUAAUAAAUAAUAUUAUUAAAGAAAUGUCACUUUCUCCCAUAUUUAAACUUUGAAUGUAUUUUGAAAUGUUUUAAUGAUAACUAUAAACACAAAUGUUGAUACCCUAUUCUCACUCACUCUUCUACUAUGGUAGAAAUAGAAUGUAUAUAUUUUUUUUACUUUUGUGUUGCAAAUAAUUGAGUUUAGUUCUUUAAUGUCCUUUUGUUUAAAUAGUUGAAUUAUGAGCAAUUUUCUCUUUGGUUUUAUCUUUUUUCUCGUUGACUUAUGUGCGAUUUGCUCACUAUUUCUUUUUCCAAAAAUCUCUCCAUACUAAGCGAGUUUGAAAGUUUUUUUUUUUUUGUUAUUUUCGUUGUACACUGAGCGAGUUCUCAACUUCUUUUAUUAUAUGCCCUCAUAGUAACCCCGUCAUUAAUUGAAGUAGGAUAAACAUUUUCUAAUGAAGAAAAAUCAUUAUUAGGAAAAGAACGUGCUUUAAAAAAAAAAGAAGAGAGAAAUAAUAAACUUAAUUGGAAAAAAGACAGUUUUGACUUAUUAAGUAACAAUAACAACAUUUAUAGAUCAAACUAUUGAAGACAAUGAUAUUUUUGGAUCAAACUAUCCACUAAGAAUAUUUUUAUUCAUUUUACAUGAUUUAAGAAUAUUAUAAACCCUUUUUCCGUUAAUUAAAUCAUCACAAAAUCCAAAAAAAAAAAAAAAAAGUUGUUUUCCAACACAUGUUUCCACACACUAAGAAAAGCCAAAAACAGAAAGAAAUUAAACAUUGAAAAACGAAAACAUAAGAAAAAACAGCAACCUUGAUUGAUGGUUGGAGAAGGCAAGUUGAUGAAGUAAGAGCUUCUUCUCUGUUGAUUUAACACAAAUAUUAUUUAUUUAUAUUUAUAUAAAAGAGGAACAAAAAAAUACUACUAAAUUGUGGACAAGAGAGUAUUUUUAAUAUCAUUUUUUUAACAUAUAAAUAAAGCAUCGUCUUAAAUGUGGAUAAGCAAGAGAACAUACAGUAGACCAAUUAUGUUCAAACCAAUUACAAAGCUUAAAACAAUAAUAAAGAAAUGAAACACUAAAACCACUCAAUUAAUAACCAAUGUGCUUGGCAGAAAUGCCAUGCCCCCAUCAAUACCUCUACGAUUAUGAAGACAUCAUAUAUAUAUAUAUAUAUAUAUGCUUGAAAAGCUUCACCACAUAUAAUUCCUCUUCAACAGCUCCACGUCUUUCAUUCUCUCUGGAAUCUCCUUUAAAUUUGGACAGUCAUGGAUACCAAGACCUUUAAUCAGAGGCAUUGCACUUGUGCCUAAAUCCCAUCUUUCUAGCUUUGAAAGAUCAUAAAGAUGAAGGAACUCUAGUUGACUGAAGCUGUUAUCACUGCACAUUAUUUCUUUUCCUUCAUAAGCUCCAACCAAAUGGAGAUUCCUUAGGUUUGGCAACAUUCCCAAAAUAGGCAUCGGAUCUUCCGUCAGUUUUGAGUUCUCAAGAAGCAUCAUUGUGAUGGAAUUUGGAAACAGAGGCAGUUUCCCUAUUCUCCCUUCUAACCUCAAUUUCUGGAGCUUUUCACAACAAUUAACAAAUUCAAGAGAUGGGAAUGAUUCAGUUUCUCCACAAAUCAAUUUGAGAGUGCUAAGGUUUUUCAAGCUGCUAAUGUUGUUUAGGGAGUAAGUUUUGCUAGUAUGAAACAUGCUUAAUUCUCGAAGAUUGACUAAAUCAACAGGAUCAACAUCUUUCCAUUGAUCACAACAAACUCUUUCAAGAACUUGAAGACUAGUGAGUUUGCUUAUAUGUGCCAGAGGUUUUGAAUACCAAACAACUAAAUGUCUUAGAUUUAUCAGGUUAGCUGUCUCGCGGGGUAGUUUGCAGGAGUAGUAUCCCCCCUCAUUGACAACAAGUGUCUGUAGAUUCUUGAGGUUGCCAAUGGAAGAUGGAAGAUCACGGUUAGCUCUCAAGCUUAAGAACUUAAGGUGGUACAAACUUCCUAUGGCAUCAGGUAUAGCACCACAGCCUUUAAUAUGCAAGUACAACACAUAUAUAUGUCGAAACACAUCUAUAUGUUGGAACACAUUACGAAAAUCCUGAUUGAAGAACAUAAUUGACCUCAACUUCAAAUUAGAAAGAUCAAGUAAGUGAUACAUUUCUCCUUGACCAUGAAAGGCAAGUCUGAUACAUGAAGAGGAUUUGGAGUGCUUUCUUGGAUGAUAAAUGUCAAAGAGGUUUGUGUCGGAUGCCUUUUGUAUGGCAAGAUCACGGAGUAAAUCAUGAACCCUACAUUCAGUAACUUUUUCCCAAAACGUAUUAGCCACUUGAACCAAGCUUCGUCUUAUCAGCUCAUUCAAGAAGCCUUCAGCCACAUCCUCCAUUCUUUCUUCUCCAUUUGGUAUGAAACCCUCGGCCAUCCACAACAGUAUUAUCUUUUCAGCAUCGACCUCUUGAUCUUCUGGAAAAAUACCAAAGUACAGAAAACACUGCUUGAGCACAGUUGACAAAAUCAUUGUAGCUUAAGGAUAGAAUGCAGGAGAUUUCAAUAAAUUUAUCUUCAAUAAUGUUCUUCCAAAGUUGAUCUUUCACUUCUUGCCAUUUGUCCACCCCCCCUCUAUGCGAAAGUAGUCCACUCAAUACAACAAUUGCAAGAGGUAAGCCUCUACACUUUUCCACCAUAUCCUUAGCUAGACUUUCCAUUGCUGGAACCAUUGCUCGAACAUCAAGUAGUUUCCUACAAAAGAGAUCCCAACUUUCUUCUUGGCUUAGGAAACGAAGUUCAUGGCCAAAACCUCUGUCGUCUGCUCUUUCAGCGACAUCCACUUUGCGCGUGGUAAUAAUAACUCUGCUGCCAUUCUUGCUAUCCGGGAAUGCUCUUUUCAAACUUUCCCAUGCUUCUCUCUGCCAUACAUCAUCAACCACCACAAGGUAUUUGUGUUCUUUCAAUAGAUCACGAAGGUGAACUUCUAGAUCUCCUUCUGUCAUAGUUUCUAACAAUCCUAGAGUUCCCUUGGUGCGACCUUGGAUGGAUUUUAUGAUAGUCUUAAGAAGAUCCAUUAUGUUGUACUCUUGAGAAACACAUAUCCAAGCGCGUGUAGGGAAGCUUGAGAUUAUAUUAGGACUGGUGUAGAGGUUUCUUGCAAGAGUGGUCUUGCCUAAUCCGCCCAUGCCAUAAAUGGAGAGGACGCUUCGACGAGGCUCUGCUUUGAGAAGUUGAGCUAGCAAUGUUUGUACAACAUCCUGAAGUCCAACAAAAAUGUAAUCCUGGUCAUCCACAUA
rnacentral:lncRNA from 1 species